rnacentral:rRNA from 1 species
GAUGAACGCUGGCGGCGUGCCUAAUACAUGCAAGUCGAGCGAAUGGAUUAAGAGCUUGCUCUUAUGAAGUUAGCGGCGGACGGGUGAGUAACACGUGGGUAACCUGCCCAUAAGACUGGGAUAACUCCGGGAAACCGGGGCUAAUACCGGAUAACAUUUUGAACCGCAUGGUUCGAAAUUGAAAGGCGGCUUCGGCUGUCACUUAUGGAUGGACCCGCGUCGCAUUAGCUAGUUGGUGAGGUAACGGCUCACCAAGGCAACGAUGCGUAGCCGACCGGGUAGGGUGAUCGGCGACACGGGGACUGGGACACGGCACCGCCUCCUACGGGAGGCAGCAGUAGGGAAUCUUCCGCAAUGGACGAAAGUCUGACGGAGCAACGCCGCGUGAGUGAUGAAGGCUUUCGGGUCGUAAAACUCUGUUGUUAGGGAAGAACAAGUGCUAGUUGAAUAAGCUGGCACCUUGACGGUACCUAACCAGAAAGCCACGGCUAACUACGUGCCAGCCGCCGCAGUAA